rnacentral:rRNA from 1 species
GUGGGGAAUCUUAGACAAUGGGCGCAAGCCUGAUCUAGCCAUGCCGCGUGAGCGAUGAAGGCCUUAGGGUUGUAAAGCUCUUUCGUGGGGGAAGAUAAUGACUGUACCCCAAGAAGAAGCCCCGGCUAACUCCGUGCCAGCAGCCGCGGUAAUACGGAGGGGGCUAGCGUUGUUCGGAAUUACUGGGCGUAAAGCGCACGUAGGCGGACUGGAAAGUCAGGGGUGAAAUCCCGGGGCUCAACCCCGGAACUGCCUUUGAAACUCCCAGUCUUGAGUUCGAGAGAGGUGAGUGGAAUUCCGAGUGUAGAGGCGAAAUUCGUAGAUAUUCGGAGGAACACCAGUGGCGAAGGCGGCUCACUGGCUCGAUACUGACGCUGAGGUGCGAAAGCGUGGGGAUCAAACAGGAUUAGAAACCCUGGUAGUCC